UACGUAGGGUGCAAGCGUUAAUCGGAAUUACUGGGCGUAAAGCGUGCGCAGGCGGUUUUGUAAGUCUGUCGUGAAAUCCCGGGGCUCAACCUGGGAAUGGCGAUGGAGACUGCAAGGCUAGAGUUUGGCAGGAGGGGGGUAGAAUUCCACGUGUAGCAGUGAAAUGCGUAGAUAUGAUGGAGGAACACCAAAGGCGAAGGCAGUGUCCUGGGGAGUACCUGACGCUCAGGUGCGAAAGCCAGGGG
rnacentral:rRNA from 1 species